rnacentral:rRNA from 1 species
UACAGAGGGGGCAAGCGUUGUUCGGAAUUACUGGGCGUAAAGCGAGCGUAGUCGGUUAUUUAAGUCGGAUGUGAAAUCCCCGGGCUCAACCUGGGAAUUGCAUUCGAUACUGGAUAGCUAGAGUUCGGCAGAGGGAAGCGGAAUUUCUGGUGUAGCGGUGAAAUGCGUAGAUAUCGGAAGGAACACCAGUGGCGAAGGCGGCUACCUGGACAGACACUGACGCUGAGGCGCGAGAGCGUGGGGAGCAAACAGG